rnacentral:rRNA from 1 species
UACGGAGGGUGCAAGCGUUAUCCGGAUUCACUGGGUUUAAAGGGUGCGUAGGUGGGCAAGUAAGUCAGUGGUGAAAUCUCCGGGCUUAACCCGGAAACUGCCAUUGAUACUAUUUGUCUUGAAUACCGUGGAGGUUAGCGGAAUAUGUCAUGUAGCGGUGAAAUGCUUAGAUAUGACAUAGAACACCAAUUGCGAAGGCAGCUGGCUACACGAAUAUUGACACUGAUGCACGAAAGCGUGGGGAUCAAACAGG